AAGAUUUUAAGUUAAAUUUAAACUUUAAACCUUCAAAGCUUAAUAUAUAAAUAAUAUUUUAUAAAUCUUA
rnacentral:tRNA from 1 species